rnacentral:lncRNA from 1 species
UAGCGGAUUUGAUGAUGCUAAGGGAAGCAAUCUUGAGGAGCUUGCGAUGGGAGGAGACAAAUUGUUGGGGGAUGAGGUGAAGCUACAGGAUGGUGGUGGUGUUGUAGGUGGAGCAGACAAGCAUGUAUAGAAGGAGAUGAGGAUGAUAGUGAUGGUGGAAGAGGAGGAGUUGGUGGCAAUAUCAAAGGGGUGGGAGAGGAAGGGAGG